AGACAUGAGUCCAAGCUAGCUGUGAAGUCUGUCAUCACACCCAUUGCUUGCCAGGAUUGAUUCAGCUCAUCUGGCUGACUCAACUAGUGUUCUCUUCCUCCCCCACUGUCCUAUAGAUGUCCCUAUUAAAGAUUCAUACUGGAUCAAAAAGGAAAACCUUGACAGAUUAAAGGAGACUGUGAUUUGGUCAGGAUGAGUAACUGAGUUCUCUUACUAGACCCCCCCCCAAACAAAAAUCUCAAAUAAGUUAAGGGGAAAAAAAAGAAAAUCUGUUUCUUGCCUCAAAUAAUCUGGUAGGGUGAGAAUGGUGAUUU
ensembl:misc_RNA Gm25454 predicted gene, 25454